rnacentral:piRNA from 1 species
UGUCACGACUGGGUGGAGUGUCACGAC